rnacentral:rRNA from 1 species
GACGAACGCUGGCGGCGUGCUUAACACAUGCAAGUCGAACGGAAAGGCCCUGCUUUUGUGGGGUGCUCGAGUGGCGAACGGGUGAGUAACACGUGAGUAACCUGCCCUUGACUUUGGGAUAACUUCAGGAAACUGGGGCUAAUACCGGAUAGGAGCUCCUGCUGCAUGGUGGGGGUUGGAAAGUUUCGGCGGUUGGGGAUGGACUCGCGGCUUAUCAGCUUGUUGGUCGGGUAGUGGCUUACCAAGGCUUUGACGGGUAGCCGGCAUGAGAGGGUGACCGGGCACAUGGGGACUGAGAGACGCACCAGACGCGUACGGGAGGCAGCAGGGGGGAGCAUGACGCAGUGGGCGGAAGCCUGAUGCAGCAGCGCCGCGUGCGGGAUGACGGGCUACGGGUUGAAAACCGCUGUCGCCGGUGACGAAGCGGGAUUGACGGUAAUGGGUAAAGAAGCACCGGCUAACUACGUG